CCUACGGGUGGCAGCAGUAGGGAAUCUUUCACAAUGGGCGAAAGCCUGAUGGAGCAACGCCGCGUGCAGGAUGAAGGCCUUCGGGUUGUAAACUGCUUUUAUAAGCGAGAAAUAUGAGGGUAACUUAUGAAUAAGGAUCGGCUAACUACGUGCCAGCAGCCGCGGUCAUACGUAGGAUCCGAGCAUUAUCCUGAUUGACUGGGUGUAAAGAGUUGCGUGGGUGGCAUAAUAAGUAGCUAGUGAAAUCUGGUGGCUCAACCAUUCAGACUAUUAGCUAAACUGUUAAGCUCGAGACCGUUAGGGGUAACUGGAAUUUCUAGUGUAGGAGUGAAAUCCGUAGAUAUUAGAAGGAACACCAAUAGCGUAGGCAGGUUGCUGGGACGGUUCUGACACUAAGGCACGAAAGCGUAGGGAGCAAACGGGAUUAGAUACCCCAGUAGUC
rnacentral:rRNA from 1 species